AUUGAACGCUGGCGGUAGGCCUAACACAUGCAAGUCGAACGGCAGCACAGAGGAGCUUGCUCCUUGGGUGGCGAGUGGCGGACGGGUGAGGAAUACAUCGGAAUCUACUCUGUCGUGGGGGAUAACGUAGGGAAACUUACGCUAAUACCGCAUACGACCUACGGGUGAACGCAGGGGAUCUUCGGACCUUGCGCGAUUGAAUGAGCCGAUGUCGGAUUAGCUAGUUGGCGGGGUAAAGGCCCACCAAGGCGACGAUCCGUAGCUGGUCUGAGAGGAUGAUCAGCCACACUGGAACUGAGACACGGUCCAGACUCCUACGGGAGGCAGCAGUGGGGAAUAUUGGACAAUGGGCGCAAGCCUGAUCCAGCCAUACCGCGUGGGUGAAGAAGGCCUUCGGGUUGUAAAGCCCUUUUGUUGGGAAAGAAAUCCAUUUGGUUAAUACCCGGGUGGGAUGACGGUACCCAAAGAAUAAGCACCGGCUAACUUCGUGCCAGCAGCCGCCGUAAAAC
rnacentral:rRNA from 1 species